GGUGGCCAUUAACCAAAAAGAAGGAGAAAUGUCUGUUCUGGGCAUUCUGCAGUUUGUGAGAAGGCAACAGGCUGUCAGUAACAGAAGAUGAAUCUUGUAAAAACAGACGUAAGAAAUCAAUUGCCUACAGACAUUCUGAAUGGAAUUCGGACUAUCAAGACUGCUUUUAAAAACAGCACUAGCUUCAGACGAACAAAGCAAAUGAUACAGCCUGCAAAUGUGUCCAUGUGUGACCAUAAGAAGUAAAUAAGACCUAAAGAAAUAGGGGGCUGCUCUCUGUUCUUCUGUGUUUCAGGAGAUAAUCAACCGAGGGAACUCAACCACGACUCACCUGUGUUCCUGGCUCACUCCACCAGAGGGAGCCCAACCUCGACUCACCUGUGUUCCUGGCUCACUCCACCAGAGGGAGCCCAACCUCAACUUACCUGUGUUCCUGGCUCACUCCACCUGAGGGAGCCCAACCACAACUUACCUGUGUUCCUGGCUCACUCCACCAGAGGGAGCCCAACCACAAUUUACCGGUGUUCCUGACUCACUCCACCUGAGGGAGCCCAACCUCAACCUUCCUGUUGUGCAGAAUCGGGACAUUCUACAGGCAAAGCCUGUUUCAGUCUGGUCAUCUCGCAGUAGUAUAGAGAGGGGAGAAGAAGUGAGGUAGUUAGC